CCUACGGGUGGCAGCAGUGGGGGAUAUUGCACAAUGGGGGGAACCCUGAUGCAGCGACGCCGCGUGGGUGAAGGAGUGCUUCGGCAUGUAAAGCCCUAUCGGCAGGGAAGAAGCAAGACGGUACCUGACUAAGAAGCCCCGGCUAAAUACGUGCCAGCAGCCGAGGUAAUACGUAGGGGGCGAGCGUUAUCCGGAUUCACUGGGUGUAAAGGGAGCGUAGACGGCCAUGCAAGCCAGGGGUGAAAGCCCGGGGCCCAACCCCGGGACUGCCCUUGGAACUGUGCGGCUAGAGUGCGGGAGGGGCAGGCGGAAUGCCUGGUGUAGCGGUGAAAUGCGUAGAUAUCAGGAGGAACACCGGCGGCGAAGGCGGCCUGCUGGACUGCGACUGACGUUGAGGCUCGAAAGCGUGGGGAGCGAACAGGAUUAGAUACCCGAGUAGUC
rnacentral:rRNA from 1 species